rnacentral:rRNA from 1 species
AGCAGCCGCGGUAAUUCCAGCUCCAAUAGCGUAUAUUAAAGUUGUUGCAGUUAAAAAGCUCGUAGUUGAACUUCGGGGUUCACCCAUUGGUCAGGCUUAAUUGUCUGCACUGGUGAGAUGAGUCUCUACCUUCUGAGGAACUUUCAUGCCAUUUAUUUGGUGUGGUUGGAAAUCAGGACUGUUACUUUGAAAAAAUUAGAGUGUUUAAAGCAGGCUAACGUCUGAAUACAUUAGCAUGGAAUAAUGAAAUAGGACGGACUGAUUCUAUUUCGUUGGUUUCUAGGAUCACCGUAAUGAUUAAUAGGGAUAGUUGGGGGCAUUAGUAUUCAAUUGUCAGAGGUGAAAUUCUUGGAUUUAUUGAAGACUAACUACUGCGAAAGCAUUUGCCAAGGAUGUUUUCAUUAAUCAAGAACGAAAGUUAGAGGUUCGAAGGCGAUCAGAUACCGCCCUAGUUCUAACCAUAAACUAUGCCAACUAGCAAUUUGCUUAUGUAUGUUUUAUGACU